GUGGGGAAUAUUGGACAAUGGGCGAAAGCCUGAUCCAGCCAUGCCGCGUGUGUGAAGAAGGUCUUCGGAUUGUAAAGCACUUUAAGUUGGGAGGAAGGGCAUUAACCUAAUACGUUAGUGUUUUGACGUUACCGACAGAAUAAGCACCGGCUAACUUCGUGCCAGCAGCCGCGGUAAUACGAAGGGUGCAAGCGUUAAUCGGAAUUACUGGGCGUAAAGCGCGCGUAGGUGGUUUUGUAAGUUGGAGGUGAAAUCCCCGGGCUCAACCUGGGAACUGCCUCCAAAACUGCAUGACUAGAGUACGGUAGAGGGUAGUGGAAUUUCCUGUGUAGCGGUGAAAUGCGUAGAUAUAGGAAGGAACACCAGUGGCGAAGGCGACUACCUGGACUGAUACUGACACUGAGGUGCGAAAGCGUGGGGAGCAAACAGGAUUAGAUACCCCAGUAGUCC
rnacentral:rRNA from 1 species